GUCAGGAUGGCCGAGCGGUCCAAGGCGCUGCGUUCAGGUCGCAGUCCGGUCUUCCGGCCGUGGGUUCGAAUCUCACUUCUGACA
rnacentral:tRNA from 1 species